rnacentral:rRNA from 1 species
GCAGAGCAUCCUACGGGAGGCAGCAGUGGGGAAUAUUGCACAAUGGGCGCAAGCCUGAUGCAGCCAUGCCGCGUGUAUGAAGAAGGCCUUCGGGUUGUAAAGUACUUUCAGCAGUGAGGAAGGUGGGUAUGUUAAUAGCAUACUCAUUUGACGUUAGCUGCAGAAGAAGCACCGGCUAACUCCGUGCCAGCAGCCGCGGUAAUACGGAGGGUGCGAGCGUUAAUCGGAAUUACUGGGCGUAAAGCGCAUGCAGGUGGUUUGUUAAGUCAGAUGUGAAAGACCCGGGGCUCAACCUCGGAAUUGCAUUUGAAACUGGCAAACUAGAGUACUGUAGAGGGGGUAGGAAUUUCAGGUGUAGCGGUGAAAUGCGUAGAGAUCUGAAGGAAUACCGGUGGCGAAGGCGGCCCCCUGGACAGAUACUGACACUCAGAUGCGAAAGCGUGGGGAGCAAACAGGAUUAGAUACCCUGGUAG